GACGAACGCUGGCGGCGUGCUUAACACAUGCAAGUCGAACGGAAAGGCCCUGCUUUUGUGGGGUGCUCGAGUGGCGAACGGGUGAGUAACACGUGAGUAACCUGCCCUUGACUUUGGGAUAACUUCAGGAAACUGGGGCUAAUACCGGAUAGGAGCUCCUGCUGCAUGGUGGGGGAUGGAGAGUUUCGGCUGUUGGGGCUGGACUCGCGGCUUAUCAGCUUGUUGGUGGGGUAGUGGCUUACAAAGGCUUUGACGGGUAGCCGGCAUGAGAGGGUGACCGGCCUCAAUGGUACUGAGAGACGGCCCAGACUCCUACGGGACGCAGCAGUGGGGAAUAUUGCACAAUGGGCGGAAGCCUGAUGCAGCAACGCCGCGUGCGGGAUGACGGCCUUCUGGUUGUAAACCGCUGUCGCCUGUGACGAAGCGAGAGUGACGGUAAUGAGUAAAGAAGCACCGGCUAACUACGUG
rnacentral:rRNA from 1 species